CACUGCAGCCCAGUCCCUGCAGGAGCAAACACAGGGCAGCUGGGUCAGGUUCCCUCGAGGUCUCAGAGAACAGAGCCAGGCUGGAGCCAGCACAUUUCUCAACCCCCAGGCAACUGCUGACCAGGCCUGCUGGGCUCUGGGCCUCUUAGUCUCUGGCUCCAACAGCAGCUGGGAGCGGCGCAGCUCUUGGCAGACCGAACACCCUGCAGCCUGCUGGCAGGACAUCAAGGCAGCCAAGACAAUGCAACUAGACAUUCAUGAAAGAUGACUUCUAGAACAGCUUCUGGAGGUGGCAAGAACAAUGGGGUAAGAACGUUUGAAGUGAGGGCCUCUCUCCAUAUCAUCAAAACAUCCCUUCAACAGGCCUGCCACUGCCGGACUCCUUGCAGCUGGCUCUCUACCACCUAGCAAAGGACAGGCCAAAGGCAGCUCCUCCCAGGAGACUCAUCCAUAUCCAAAGCCUGUCUGUUGCAGAGGUGCAGCAGGGAGGAAGGAAGACAUUCAGGUUGCAGCUGACACAGGACAAGUUGCCUCAAACUGAAGGGAUACCAUUGUUUCCAUGGAACCUUUAUGAAGAGGCAUCCUCAGAAGCUCCAAGGCCAAGGAAAACUGUGAAGUUAGGAGUGGAGGAGUCCUGCUGGAAGUCCCUGCUUGGAUCUCUCUCUGGAGGAAGGAAGGCAGCCAGUAAAUUGGAGAAGAAGCUGUGGCAUAGGCUUAGAGAGGACUGUCAUCUUCCACUGCAACCUUAGGUGACAGUUGUCCUCACUUGCUCUGCUUUAGAAAGGCAUUGCCUCUUCUGCUCACAGGUGGGGCUGCCAGCAAGAGCUCAGGAUGGCAAAGAGAACAAAGCUCAUCCCUAGCCUGGAAGAGUAGGGACAGGGGAGCUAAAGACAAGUCCUCCUGAGUGCCUCUGUUCUGGACAGAGAGGAGUCCAAGUUGCCAGGGAGGAUAAGGGGGAAAUCUGGGAGAGAGGAUGGGGAGAGGGCAGUCACCCUCUAGGGUCCCUCUGAGCAGAAGCUGAGGGCUUAGCCAGCAUCAAUAGUGAGAGCCAUUUCCAUGUGCCCUUGCCAAGCCCUCAAGGAAAGAACAGAGAGGGUCCUUACCCAGUGUGGGUAGAGGAGGCGGAAGGUUGAGCAGCGUUGGGCAUGCAUUUGUCUUCCCUGGCCUGGGGGUGAAGCAUGCACACUGGCUAGAUCAGUGCAUCUCACACCUUACGGCUUGUGUUGUGUAUCAGCUGGAGAUUUUAUUAAAAUUCACAUUCCAUGCCAGCGGGCCUAGAGUGCAGCUAGGGUUCUGCAUGACUAUCAAGGGUUAGGGUUAGGGUUAGGGUUGUGCUGUUGCCAGCCUCCAGAACUGCAUUUAGCCUGAUAAUGCACAAACAUAAGGAUAAUGCAAAAAUGAGGCUAUAGUCUUGCAGGAAGCUUUGCUUUCAAUUUCCAUAAUUUUCUCUAUGUCAUAUCUCUCAGCAGAGCUUAAUUCCUCAUGACCUUGGCAUGCCCUUUCUGUACUUCUGGAGAGUACAGUGAUGCCAAGUGAAGCUUGGAGAUUUGGAAGACACUAACAUUAAGUGCCCGCUUGAGUGACCCUAGGAUCUGGGCGUGAACCAAGCUCAAAAUAACCACUUGUAGGGGCAGCUCAGGAGAAAGCAGUUUCUUACUCACUUUGCUAAAACUGGUACAUCUGCAACUUAAAAGAGGAGAGAAUUAUUUUGGCUCACAUGGUAGAAAUUUCAGCCCUUGCAUGGUCAGACUCCUCCCGGCAGAAGUGACUUUGUAGAACAUUCUGGAGGAAAAAAGCUGCUCACCUCAUGGGAUCCAGGAAGCAGAGUGAGAGGAGGAGCCAGAAAGGGAGAUAAGCACUUCCAGGUCACUCCUCCAGCAACCUGUGUCUACCAACCAGACCCCACCUUCUAACAGCAAGCACCUAUAAUCCAACUACCUUCCAAAAGCCCCACCCAUGAUCCCAGGAUGCUCUGGGGGACAUGUAGACAUGAACCACAACAGGCAGUUAUGGGAAAGAAGAGUGGAAAAGAGAUGUGUCAUUAUGGUUGGAUCAGAGAGGCGCACGUGACACUGCAUUGGGGCUUCCGCUCUAUAUCAACCCCAAUCCCUAAGGCAGGCUGACCUUUGUGUUUCUUGGUCUCUAAGUGAGUGGCACUGGCUAACAUUCCUGAUCUGAGAGUCUAAGAUACAAAAUGCUCCAAAAUUCAAACAUUCUGAGCACUAGCAUGAUUCUUAAAAAGCUUUAGACUUUGGCGCUAAGAUUUAGGCUUUGGAAGCAAACUAACCUUAAGGACCUCAAAAAGACUUUGUAGCACUUCUGAUUUUUGAUUUUUGUAUUUGUAGAGAUGCUCAACAAGUAAAAUCUAAAAAAAAUUUCAAAAUCCAAAAGAACUCCAAACUCAGAAACACUUCUGGUCCCAUGCAUUUCCAAUAAUGAAUACUCAAUUUGUAUAAUAUUUGAGCAUCGAGAUUAGGGAAUGAAUAAAACAGAAACUGAGAAAGCAUCCAGCAAAUUACCUGCCCCAGAAUAAUAUCCAAUAUCCAAUAUAUUCUGAAAUUAAAAAAAGAUGAGAACAAUCUAUAAACUCAGCCUGCACAGGGUCUUGUCAGCUAGACAGAGGAGCUUGGAAGUAAGUCACAAACGAUCCCUGACUUUGCAAUAAAGCAAGCUCCCCUUAGGGAUCUCUGCUUAACUGCCUUGGAGUAAUUCUGAGUUCUCAAAUGGAACUCAAACAGAUAAAAUUAUAGCACUUAGAAUCAGCCCUGAAAGCAGACAUCUCACUAAAUCUGAUAAAUCUGAAUUUCCCGGAACAGCCUGCCAGCUCUCCAUCUUUACUGGACUCCAAGAUGAGCAGCAGGUUACAGCAGGCUGCACAUGAAUAGAGUAGCUAGAAUGCUGGGGAAACCACACAAGUUGUGCCUACAUUCUCUCUGGGCCCGGAAUCCCAUAACCUUUCAAAUCCCAAACCCUGAGGAUGCAAAGGGGAAGAAUGACCCAUUUUCAGGUCCUUGGGAAAGCCCUUAGAAAAAGCAGCCUCCAGACUGAAGACUCUCUAGGCAAGGAGUAAAGGAGUCCAGCACAAGUCCUUGGCCUAGGCGAGGAAAGGUUUCCACCCCUUACUCUCCCAUCCUCGGGCAGGUGGGUCUUCUCUGGGCUAUGCAAAGCCUAGAUUGCUGUGAGUUAUUCUUAUUUUAAAAUAACAUUUAGAAAUUGUUUGGGGGCUAGAAACAAGCAUUUCCACCACGUUGUCCUUUUUCGGCAAUAGGUAUAUUUUUAAGUAGUGAGAACCAAGGCACUCAUUUCCCAGCAGACAUGAGGCACAGGUGGUAAAUGCACUCAGGAUCAGGAGGAGGGGUCCCCUUCACCCUUUCUUGGGAGGACAUUAGAUGGUGCUGGGCCUGUGAUAAGUGCUUUCCAAAAAGCCAAAAGAAUCUAAUGAGUUGAGUCUAGGGGGCAGCCAGGGAGAGGCAGAGCAGGAGAAUCUGUGGGUCGUUUUUCCUGGGUGGAGAUCUUCUUCUCCACACCUCCCCACUGCUCCCCAACAGCAGGCAGCAGUUUUGUGCUGUGCUAGAGACAGGAGCCCCACACAGGUUGCCAUGGCUCUAUCCCCGCUCAGUAACUCACUAACUGAGGGGCCUUGUUGACACCUCGGUCUCUUCCUCGGUAAUAUAAGGGACUGUAAGGCCCAUCUCCUCAGGCUACUGUGACUUUCAAAAGGUGUGACACCUGUGAGGUGUUUGGGGCAUUUCCUGGCACAAAGCAAGGCUCCUCAGUGUAAUGUGCUUCAAAUGCCAUAGCUAGCCUGUCCCUAGAUUCCUGGGCCACAGCCUUCCCCAGGUACCCACCUCCAUAAAUGACAACUCCAGCCUUCAGUUACCCAAACCCCAGAUCUCAGAGGCAUUUUUGAUAUAUCUUUUUCAUGCUCCACAUGCAAUCCAUUAACAAAUCCCAUUAACUCUGCUUUUAAAGUAUACUCAGAAACCGGCCACAGUGAUCAUUCCACGUGACCACCCCAGGCCAAGCCAGGGUCAUUUCUGCCCAGAGUAUGACUGUGGCCUCCUGCCAUUCUGCUUUGUGCACACAACCUCAAGACUAAUCCUUCAAAACAUUUAAACCAGAUAAAAUAUCAUUGCCUGCUUAACCCCCAAAGGCCCUCUGUCUCCCUUAAGAGUAAAGCCGAAGGUUACUGGGGCUCAGAAGUCCUGUGGAGUGCGGCCCUGCGACCUCUGUCCUGCUGCUGAUCACAUCUCUUCCCCGGUUCACUCUCUCCAGCCACAUGCUGAGGACAGUGUCUGGAUUUAUGAAUGGAUAAAUAGACAAAUGAAGGGACACACGCCUUCCUCUGCGAGGACCUCUCUUCAGGCUAGGGAGCCCAGACCAGAGCAACAGAGAAGGAGUAAGAGUCGGGCAGCUCUGAGACCAGAGGGGCGCUCGGAGGGCUUUGGGGGGCCAGGAAAGGAGGAAGGCGGAUGUGAGGGACAGGGCAGAUGGAUGAGGCAGGGCUGUGUGGAGGGUCAGCCCGGGGAAGAUGCAGCCCUGGGGACUGUGACAGACACUGGGGCUGACCGCAGUGCAAGGACAGCUCUGGAGGGAGGCAUCAAAGGGACAGUCAGGGCAGUUAAUAACUCCAUCAUUUAGCUCACAUCCCAUCGGGCACUGUGCCCAAGGCCAGUUAUGCUGAAAGCAGAUAGCACAACUAAAAAGCCAGACUGAAGCCCCUGAGUGGAUAAGACUGUGAUGGGGGCCAGGAAACAGGCAGCACAGAACCAAGCCUUUGUGGAGCGCUGCGGAGCAAGUGCUGUCCUGCACAGUAAUGAUAACGCGCAGCGUGGUGUGGUACCGCAGACAGCCCGAGGCUCAGGGCUGCCUCCAUGGAGACAGGCACCCUUUGGCUCCCGAUAACCUCCCUGAGCUUUAGUUUCUUGGUCUGCAGGGUGGUAAUGGCCAGUGCGCCCUAAACACCUUGUCAAUGUCAGCUUCCAUUGUACCUGUGUGUGUGUUCACUUGUUGGACCUUCCAAAGCGACCCUGUGAAACAGGACCUAUUGAACAUGCAGGUGUGCAGAUCAGAAAGGCUAAGAAACUGCCUCACACAGCUACCCAGGCAACCUGGUGAUUCUGGCUUCAGGGGCCAUGUUCCUAGCCAUGAUGCGACACUGCAGGUGACAAUGGCUGCCCUACUGAAAGAUUUUGGAAACCGUUGAGGCUGAUACACACAUGACUGGUUAGAGGUGCUGUAUAAAUAUUGAUGAUCACUAUUUUGUCUAAUGCUCACAAUGUUAAAGCAAUUGGUUGAUCUAGGACAUGAUGUUGACACCCUGGUAUCACCCACUGAGCUUGCCUAGAAGGUCACACAAAGACUAUGACAUUGUCCUUAUCCCCGCACACAGUCACUGGUAUCCUCUCACGGAGAACAUGCUUGUGCAUCAAAGCGGGCAAGGCCCAUGGGAUGGCACACCUACUCCUGUUUCCUUACCCCUCCUCAGUGAGACAUUCUAGGAUGUAUCCCACAUGGUCCCUCAAACGGUCCCCCACAGGUUUGAGCCCCAGAUGUCCACACAGUGCCCACCACUAACGCACCAUCCACUGGCUUCCUGCUUGCUGUCUCAGUCUCUCUUCCCUCCCAGUGAUUCCUGGAGUCACCUCCCAAAUAAACAGCUUACAUAGACAUCCCUACCUCUAGGUUUGUGGUAGAGAACCCAAAGAAAGCCAGGGAGGCAUUUCACUGCCAGACAGAGGGGAGGAGAGGCCGGACCUGCUGAGACUUGAGAUUAUCUGGACAGACGCUUCUGGGGAAAUAGCUGGAGAGAGGUGGGGCAUAUAUCAGCUGCCUUGGACCAAAGGAUAAAGUCCCAGUAACAGGAAAAGAAGACCAGGCCGUCCACGUACUGUUCCCCAAACAGCACGGCCCCAGAGCACACAUUUUACUUGACAAUUCUAAGCAAGUGGCCAGAAUGGCGUCCUGGCAGAAGCCCUGACGCCUCUGGACUGGAUCACAGGAGAAUCCCUCACCCCUCUUGGACACGAGCGCAGAAUAAACACAAAUAAGCUCCCUUGUCUAAAUAAACGGAGGCUUGGUUUUA